AAAAUUUUAAGUUAUUUAAACUAUUAACCUUCAAAGUUAAAAAUAAUUUUAUUAAAUUUU
rnacentral:tRNA from 1 species